rnacentral:lncRNA from 1 species
UCAGCUUAUAUCUGUCAGUGUGACAUACCGGACAUGCGUCAAGGCCACCAAGGUCAUUCCCUUCUGGAUCUUUACCCCAAAAGAGAACGCAGUCAUAUCUGCAUGCAUGGAUCUUGAUGUAGGAAAGCCCAAGAUCUUUCAGGAUACAUCAGACCUUAUGAUGAGUGGUAGGAAGACGAUGACCGUGAGGCAGCAUCGAAGCAGUGUACUGUAGAUAAUCAUUAACAGCUUUCACAGUCGAUUUAGUCUCAACUUUAAUCUUCAUUACGUCCAUCACACUUUUAAGAACGAUCUUCUGACAACCGGGGUACACAGGGGUCUGUUGGAAAGCAAACAGUUUGUUGUACUUGUCAAUACUAGCAGUGUUGACAGCUCUAGGGAAGGGCUGCACCGGGUCAGGCAUAUACUGUCCUUGAGCGCAUACACCGCUCUCAUAAGGAAACAUGUCGUUGAUGAAGACCGUUGUUGGAUCGUUGGAUGUACUGCCCGUCUCAGAAAAUUGGCCAUGAUCAUGCGGACCUCCAGAUGAUGUUUCACCGUGAUAUAACCAACAUGUGUACUUCUUCCAAAACCCGUUACUCUUCAGGUGCUGCCAUACUUUGUCAAUCGCAUAUCGAUGCAUAUCGUUGCGACACUGACAUUUCGUGCACGGGCAAUAGAAAAUUGUAUUCCCGUUAGCAUUAGCCAGCGCAUAUUCCAGAAAACUCAUAAUUUCUUUACCAUAUCUUUUGUCCCAUUUUGGAAGCGAAAUCCAACUCUUAUCCAUAUUCUGAAAAUAUAACAAAAUAUAUAUGUAUAACGCUAGCUAAUUAUUAAUUAAAUUCUAUGCCAUAUAUAAAAUUUUAAUUCAUUUAUAUAUAUUCUACGUACUACAACUAAUUAAUUGAUAACAAAUUAAUUAACACACAUAUAUAUAUAGAUAUACUUAAUUAAUAAUUACAUAACAAUAUUAUAUAUAUCAACAUCAUCACAAAAUCAUCAUCAACAACUUCAUACCAUCAACACAAUAUUAUAAAUUAAUUAACAUAUAUAUAUAUAUAUCUACUACUUAUUAACAACAACUUCAUAUAUAUUAUCGAAUCAUCA